rnacentral:rRNA from 1 species
AGUGAACGCUGGCGGUAGGCCUAACACAUGCAAGUCGAACGGCAGCACAGUAAUAGCUUGCUCUUACGGGUGGCGAGUGGCGGACGGGUGAGGAAUACAUCGGAAUCUACUUUUUCGUGGAGGAUAACGUAGGGAAACUUACUCUAAUACCGCAUACGACCUACGGGUGAAAGCAGGGGAUCUUCGGACCUUGCGCGAUUGAAUGGGCCGAUGUCGGAUUAGCUAGUUGGCGGGGUAAAGGCCCACCAAGGCGACGAUCCGUCGCUGGACUGGGAGGAUGGCAGGCACCACUGGAGCUGAGACAGGGCCCUGAGUCCUCAGAGAGGCAGCAGCGGGCAAUAUGGGACAAAGGGGGCAAGACUGAUCCAGUCAUACGGGGUGGGUGAAGAAAGCCUUCGGGUUGUGAAGCCCUUGUGUUGGGAAAGAAAAGCAGCAGGUUAAGACACAGCUGUUAUGACGGUACCUAAAGAAUAAGCACCGGCUAACUUCGUG